CCAGCAAGAACAGUAAUGUGC
rnacentral:siRNA from 1 species